CACGUAGGGUGCGAGCGUUGUCCGGAAUUAUUGGGCGUAAAGAGCUCGUAGGCGGUGUGUCGCGUCGGCCGUGAAAACCUGCAGCUUAACUGUGGGCGUGCGGUCGAUACGGGCAUCACUGGAGUUCGGCAGGGGAGACUGGAAUUCCUGGUGUAGCGGUGAAAUGCGCAGAUAUCAGGAGGAACACCGGUGGCGAAGGCGGGACUCUGGGCCGAUACUGACGCUGAGGAGCGAAAGCGUGGGGAGCAAACAGG
rnacentral:rRNA from 1 species